rnacentral:rRNA from 1 species
UCGAUCAUGUCAGAUUGUGGGCCCAACUGGCCCGGAUGCUUUACACAUGCAAGUCGAGAACUGGCAGCACGGACUUCGGUCAUUGGCGAGUAGCGAACGGGUGAGUAAUGUAUCGGAACGUGCCUGGUAAUGAGAUAUACAUGGCAAGCUAAUGCCGCAUGCGCCCUUCCGGGAAAGCGGGGACCUUCGGGCCUCGCACUAUUAGAGCGGCCGAUAUCAGUUAAGCUGGUUGGUGGGUAACGGCUCACCAGGCGGCGAUCGUAGCCGGUUUGAAGGCGACCAGCCACACAGGACUGGGGCGGCCCCAGGCUCCUGCAGGAGAGGCAGCAGUGGAAUUUUGGACAAUGGAAACCCCUGAUCAAUGUGCAUCCACGCCAUUGAUGAUGAAGGCCCUUCGGGUUGUAAAGCGCUUUGGCAGGAAGAAACUGGCGGAUAUGCCCGUGCAACUGACGUACCUGCAGAAUAAGCACCAGCUAACUACGUGCCCGUAUGCUGAUAAUACAUCAGGAACGCAACGUUAAUCGGAAUUACUGGGCGUAAAGCGUACGCAGGCGGUUCGGAAAGAAAGAUGCUUGAAAUCCAGAGCUUAACUUUGGAACUGCAUUUUAACUACCGGGCUAGAGUGUGUCAGGAGGUGGAAUUCCGCGAUGCGAAGUGAAAUGCGUAGAUAUGGGAAGACUGCCGAUGGCAAGGCAGCCUCCUGGGAUAACGCGACAUUUCGUGCGAAAAGCGUGGGGAGCAAACAGGAUUAGAUACCCUGAGCAGUGAUCCGCCUAAACGAUGUCAACUAGCUAUUUGGGGCCUUCGGGCCUUGGCCAGCGCAACUAACGUGAGUUGAGCCUUCUGAGAAGUACGGUCAUAAAGAUUAAACUCAAAGGAAUUGACGGGGACCCCGCACAAGCAGUGGAUGAUGUGGAUUAAUUCGAUACAACGCAAAAAACCCUACCCUUGACACUGUCUGGAAUCCGAAGGAAUUUGGGAUUGCUCGCAAAACGGAACACAGGUGCUGCAUGGCAGCUGUCUCGUCAGCUCGUGUCGUGAGAUGUUGGGUUAAGUCGCAACAGGCGCAGCCUUGUCAUUAGUUGCUACGAAAGGGCACUCUAAUGAGACUACCAGUCGACAAACCCGGAGGGAAGGUGGGGAUGACGUCUCAGAUCCUCAUGGCCCAUAUGGGUAGAACUACACACGUCCAUGCAAUGGUCGGGACAGAGGUCUAACACCCAACCCGCGAGGAGGCCAAUCCCAGAAACCCGAUCUGUGGUCCCAGGAUCUGCCAGUCUGCAACUCAACUGCGUGAAGUCCGGAAUCGCUAGUAAUCGCGGAUCAGCAUAUGCCAGAUGAAUACGUUGAUUAGCCUUACCACCGCCCGUCACACCAUGAAUUGGGUUUUCUUAGAAGUGAUUAGCUAACCCGUAAGGAGGGCGAUUACGGUAGGAUUCGCGGCUGGGGUGAAGUCGUAACAAGAUG